UAAGAAGCAUUUCAAGAGAGCUGUGGAUGAAGGUUGCAUCCAGGAACGUUCACAAGCAAAAUGUUAAUCAAAAUGAAGUGGACCCACAAUAAAUUAACCCACUUAUUCACACUGGGAGCAACUGGGGAUUAAGGACCUCGCCCAAGGGCCCUUAGUGAUGUUCAGAUGGAAAAGCGCUGUAUA